rnacentral:lncRNA from 1 species
AAGGGACGUUUUGCAUCAUUAUCAAAAAGGGAUCAGUCGAGCGAGUAUCUCCGACACGGCAACAGCUGCAUUCUUCGUCGUAAUAUCAGUUCGUUAUCAUGGGUAAUUUUGAGUCGGAAAUCUAUUCUAUCUUUGUUGUUAGUUGUUCAUACGACUAGUUACAUUCGAAAAAUAAUUUCCAAUUGUUUAUUGCAUAGUUAAUUAUGGUGUAGUGUUGCUGUUGUGUGUCGUAUCGUUGAUGUCGACCACGAGAGAAAAUCUUACAGAAGGAAAGAGAAAGGGCAACAGAAGUCAAUCGAGUGAGCAUCUCCGACCCGGCAACAACUGCAUUCUUCGUCGCAUCAUCAGGUCGCAAUUACGGGCGGAUACCAAACUGCAACGCUGCCGCCUUACUACACAACAAUAUACGCAACGACCAGUUACUACACCGAGGUUGCACAGUUUGGUUUACAGUUAAACCACCAAGGAUCCAGAUCAUUACACCACAACUUGUGCUGCUCCUCGAGCUACACUACCAAAGCGCUAGAGUACUACGCCGAGGCUCCUAAGUACUACACCACCAAGGCACCUAAGACUACGCAACUACGUAUGCUGCCCCAACCUACGACACCGAGGCUUCAGCUUAUUACACCACCAAAGCUGUCGAAUACUACACAGGAGCGCCCAAGUACGAUAGAAAUCAGUCGAGUGAGCUUCUCCCGACACCCAUCACGGCAGCCCCGAAGUUUCGAAUAAACUUCGCUUCAAACAGUGGAACGGCAAACAGUGAAGAAUUCUACUGCAAUCGCGUCGAAUUGAAUAGCAACGAUAACACAUUCGUACGUGUACACCGUGUUAACUUGACAUGGUUGGUCGGAAAGCCAAACUUAACGAUGGCGGUACCAUCACCUACGACAAGUGCGUUAUUGCCACAGGUGGUAAACGAAAAUCUUUUCCAAUCCCUGAGCGGUGCCCUUAAAGAUGCCCACGAGCACGUAACGCUAUUCCGCAACAUCGAUGGCGGUAACAUAGGCCGAGUUCUCCCUAAAUAUUUGAGCCAAUGGAUAACCGAGAAGGUGAAAGCGGAAAGUGUUAAUGUGUUGCCCAAAGCUAAUGUUGAGGUUGCAAUUUUGCAAGACUACAAGGUCGCAUUGACCUUAAACGAUGGUCAAAAGCAGAUUUAAACCGAGUCGUCGCUGCUGCUGUCGGUUGGGACGCAAACACGGAUUUGGCUGUCGCUUUUGGUUUGGAAAUAAAUUCCAAUUUUGGUGGUUAUUGAGUCAAUACCGAGCUUGAAGCACGAUCGAACGUCUGGUUGGCUGGAGAUGUUGCGUCUGUUUGUGAUAUCAAAUUGGGUCGUCGUCGUAUGGAACAUCAUCACUUUGCUGUUGUAUCAGGGCGAUUGCUGGAGAGAAGAAUACUGACAACGAAACAUGGAUGAACAACUGCAGUGCACUGUCACCAAGUGCAUUCUUCGUCGUAUUAUCAGUACGCAAUCGGUGUCGUGCUGUUGCCGUUUGUCGUAUCGUUGAAGGUUGGGUCGAUCACUGGUGUACCCAUGUCUCCUGGUUAUGGCGGAUACCAAAGCACCACGCCGUCGCCUUGCUACACAACGACAACAUUCGCACCAACCGGUUACUACACUGAGGGCCACAAUUACUACACCACCAAGGCUCCAGAUUAUUACACUGCAACUAAUGCUGCCCCAAGCUAAAUCACCAAAGAUCCUGAGUACUACGCCGAGGCUCCCAAGUAUUACUCAGUUCCUAGCUACUACACCGAGGCUUCAACUUAUUACACCACCAAAGCGGCUGAAUACUACACCGAGCCGCCCAAGUACUUCACCACCAAGGCUCCAGAGUAUUACACCACAACUUGUGCUUCCCCGAGCCGCUACACCGAAGCCCCGAAGUAUUACUCUGCCCCAAGCUACACAAAUACAACUGAGGCGUCCAAGUAUUACGCAGCCCCGACUUACUACACAGCGGCUGCUCCCUUCGUACUACGUUGAAUCGGAAUACUACACCGAGGCUCCAGUUUACUACACCACAACCUACGCUACACCUAGCUACUACACCGAGGCCCUACACUACCAAGGCACCCGAGUAUUAUAACACUACUUAAGCUGUUCCGACCAACUACACCGAACCUCCGAAGUAUUACUCUAUCGGUCUAUCCCGAUUUACUACAACACUAAGGCACUUAAAUAUUACACCCCCCCUACGCUUCUCCAACUUAUUACAGGGACGUUUCUAAAUACUAGAGUCGAAUUUUCAAUUUUAAUAAUUAUGUUCAGAUUUGUCGGUAAUAUCUUAAUAAUUACUAGUCACUGGGAAUUGUUGAUCUUUAAAGAGAAAUAAAUUUUGUUUAACCUGGGUAA